rnacentral:misc_RNA from 1 species
GAAAUGCGAUACGUAAUGCGAAUUGCAGAAUUCAGUGAGUCAUCGAAUCUUUGAACGCACAUUGCGCCCGCCAGUAUCCUGGCGGGCAUGCCUGUUCGAGCGUCAUUUCAACCCUCAGGCCCCGCCUGGUGUUGGGGCCCUGCGCGUGCAGGCCCCGAAAGACAGCGGCGGGCUCGACCCGGCUCCGAGCGUAGUAGCAUACGUCGCUCCGGGCGCCGGGCGGGCUCCUGCCGGAAACCCCACUUCUUUAGGUUGACCUCGGAUCAGGUAGGAAUACCCGCUGAACUUAA